UCCGUGCGUAAUAUCUUACAUGUUGAUUAACCUUGGAUAAACACGAAGUGUUUGUAUGACAGUUGACAGUACUGUGAGUAGAGUUGGAGAUGAUAGUUAGUGUCGGUCGUAUUUAGUUGUUCAGCAGAAGUUUGGUGAUUGAUAAUACAUACCGUCUCGUCAUGGCAGACAGCGAGGAAAAAGCACUGAUGCUAAUGUCAGAAGCGGAGAAGAAAUCGAAAUCAGCUAAAGGAUUUUUGGGGACUUUAAUGGGAGGGAACGAUAGCACAGAUGAAGCCAUCGACUAUUAUGAAAGGGCAGGAAAUUUAUUCAAAAUGAAUAAAAAUUGGGACAGUGCCGCAGACGCCUAUCUUCAGGCUGCGAAACUACAGAAAAGGGUAGGUAGACAGCACGACGCAGUGAUGAAUAAAGUUACAGCCGCUAACUGCUUCAAGAAAACUAAUCCGCAAGAGGCUGUACAUUGCUUGUUGGAAGUUGUCGAGUUCUACAAAGAGACUGGGAAGUUUGUUAUGGCUGCCAAACAACACCAAGCGUUAGCAGAAUUGUAUGAGAAACAGCUCUUGAACUGGCAGCAAACCGUACAUCAUUAUCAAGAAGCGGCCGAUAUGUUUUCUGCAGAAAAUAGCACAGCCUCGGCGACCAAAUGUCUAUUGAAGGUAGCAGAAUAUUCUCUUCAACAGGAAAACUACACGAAGGCUAUUCAGAUUUAUGAGGAUGUUGCUGAAGCUGCCCUUCGUAGCGCCUUGCUAAAAUAUAGUGCCACUGAUUAUUUCUUCAGGGCAGCAUUAUGUCAUUUUUGUGUUGACACACUGAACGCACAUAACGCCUUGAUGCGAUAUGCAGAUAUGCAUCCAGCAUUCGAAGAAUCGAGAGAAUAUAAGUUGCUGAAAACUCUGAUUCAGCACGCAGAAAAUGAAGAUGUUGACGCUUUUUCGGAGGCAAUCAUUAGUUACAAUUCAGUAUACCGAAUGGAUGAAUCUUACAUGAAAAUCCUUGAAAAGAUAAAAAGCCACAUUGAUAGUGUUGAUCUUCGAUAAGCAGGAUAUUUGACGUUCCUUUGCAGUAUUUUAUCGCUCGUUGUGAAGAGUUGUGACAAAAAUUGUAGAUUAUUUAGAGAACAGUCAUUAUUAAAGAAUUCUGUGCUGUGAUAUUACUGUCCCCUGUCUCAUUAUUAAUGUAAGAUAAUGUUUGUUAGCGUAUACUGUUUCACCAAACAGUAUGCAGUUAUGUGAAAAUUGCUUUCGUAGCUAUGAAGAACUUUGUUGUCAAGUGUGACAUAAUAUGUCCACAAAUGUCAGAGUUCAUAGGUGCAUUGAACCAGAUCUGAUAAUUAAAGUUCCUUAUAGGCUACUUAGAAAUAUACUUUUUUAUUGUCGUAAUAUUAGGCAGUAAGUAUGGAUUUAGAUUACUUCUGUUAUUUGUUGCACUCUUAUGGCAUGAUCAUUUGUGUUACUGUAGUUCCCGGUACUCAGAUGAUCACAGUUGUGAAUAGAUUGCUACGGCUGUAACUUGUUACACUAACUGUAGCCUAAUGGUGGGGGUUCUUAAGUUUCUUCUACAGCUGUAGUGUAGAAUAAUGCAUUUUAUGGCUUCAUACGAAUCAGGGCAGCUUCAAUAUUUUGGUCAUUCUUUUACUAAAGUUUUCACUGUAAUCUGACACAAGAAAUUGAAGAUUACAAGGGGGGAGGGGAGGGGGGAAGAGAGUGAGAGUGUGUAUAUAUGUUUGGAGAGGAGAUAUGGUGUGGCUGUGGCUUCUUAUAUAUUACUUUUUAACAGCAGUAUUAUCUCUGAUACAUUUUUAAUAUACAAGAAGUGCUUUAACUUCCAUGGGAGAGGGAACCUAGUUAUAAUUAUUUCUUGGUGACAGUUUUUAUCAUAAUUCCACGUAACUUAUCUACUACUGUAAGAUAUUCUGUAAUAUUGCCUAAAUUGUACAUUUUCAAGCUAAAUCAUAUUUUUUUUCUAGUAUCUACUAAAUCCACAACACUAUAGUAUGAAGGUAUCCUUAACUUAAUACUGAAAAGAAUUUUUAUUGCUUUAGCUUGAUUAGUAUUCAGGUUGUGCCACACAUGUGGAUGCCAAGAGAUGUUAUAAGCAGUUCAUGUAUAAUGUAUGGAGAUCUUUUCAAAGUAAUAGCAUUUAAGGUAUGUUCUUUUCUUUAUGUAGAAAAUAUUCGUAACAAAUGCAGGCUGUAUCUUUCAUUCCACAGAGGAGUGUUCAGUUGGAAUACUUUGUGGCAAAUUGAAAUGACAUGUUCAACAGUCAGUUUGUCUCAUCCUUAAGGACAUAUAUAUAUGUCUUUCCAAGCUUUUCAUUCAUAAUACUUGUGUUUACCAAAACAAUGAACUUUUGGAGACAGUUUGAAAACUGCAUUUCGAAAGGAAUAACAUGAUGUCAAAAAUGGGCUUCUGAUGUGAAAUAAUUGUAUAUGUAAAUACAAGACAGCACAGUAAUUAGAUGACAUUAUCAUCA